UCUAGAGUAGCACUCGCAUAUCAAUAAGCGGAGGAAAAGAAACUAACAAGGAUUCCCCUAGUGACGGCGAGUGAAGCGGGAAGAGCUCAAAUUUGAAAUCUUAAAGGGUUUCCCUUUACGAAUUGUAGUUUAAAGAAGUGUUUUCUGUUGAGGUUUUGGUAAAAGUUCUUUGGAAUAGGACAUCAUAGAGGGUGAGAAUCCCGUAUUUGACCUUUACUUUCAACUUUGUGAUACACUUUCAAAGAGUCGGAUUGUUUGGGAAUGCAGUCCAAAAUGGGUGGUAAAUUUCAUCUAAAGCUAAAUAUUGGCGAGAGACCGAUAGCGAACAAGUACCGUGAGGGAAAGAUGAAAAGAACUUUGAAAAGAGAGUUAAACAGUACGUGAAAUUGUCAAAAGGGAAGCGUUUGACACCAGUGUUGUUUUUCUGAAAAUCAAUUAAAGAACUGUUUAUGCUAAGCUGUUUAGACUUUAUCAGCUAUCUGUUUAGUUUUGAGCUUUUCUUUAAUGCACUUUUCAGUUAACAAGUCAACAUCAAUUUCUUUUGCUGUAAAAAAGCUUGAGGAAGGUGGCUUGAGAUUCGUCUUAAGUGUUUAUAGCCUCUUGCCUAUGCAGUCGGAGAGAUUGAGGUCUGCAGCCUAGAUCCUUCGGGGCUAAAUGCAUUUGUGCUAAGUUAUAACAUUUUAUAGACAACUUGUUGACUAUGAUUUGUCUUGUAGCUUACUCGCUUAUGUUAUUUUACCUACGCUUAGGAUGUUGAGUAGCGACAUACGCAC
rnacentral:rRNA from 1 species